rnacentral:rRNA from 2 species
UGGGGAAUAUUGCACAAUGGGGGAAACCCUGAUGCAGCGACGCCGCGUGAACGAAGAAGGUAUUCGUAUCGUAAAGUUCUGUCCUAUGGGAAGAUAAUGACAGUACCAUAGAAGAAAGCUCCGGCUAAAUACGUGCCAGCAGCCGCGGUAAUACGUAUGGAGCGAGCGUUGUCCGGAAUUAUUGGGCGUAAAGGGUACGCAGGCGGUUUAAUAAGUCGAAUGUUAAAGAUCGGGGCUCAACCCCGUAAAGCAUUGGAAACUGAUAAACUUGAGUAGUGGAGAGGAAAGUGGAAUUCCUAGUGUAGUGGUGAAAUACGUGGAUAUUAGGAGGAAUACCAGUAGCGAAGGCGACUUUCUGGACACAAACUGACGCUGAGGUACGAAAGCGUGGGGAGCAAACAGG